GGAACUGCCUUCAAAACUACAUUUCUUGAGUUUGGUAGAGGAGAGUGGAAUUCCUAGUGUAGAGGUGAAAUUCGUAGAUAUUAGGAGGAACACCAGUGGCGAAGGCGACUCUCUGGGCCAAUACUGACGCUGAGGUUCGAAAGCAUGGGUAGCGAACAGGAUUAGAUACCCUGGUAGUCCAUGCAGUAAACGAUGAGUGCUAGAUGUUGGGAAUUUAAAUUUCCAGUAUCGCAGUUAACGCGUUAAGCACUCCGCCUGGGAAGUACGGCCGCAAGGCUAAAACUCAAAUGAAUUGACGGGGACCCGCACAAGCGGUGGAUCAUGUGGUUUAAUUCGAAGAUACGCGAAGAACCUUACCGGCCCUUGACAUACCAAUCGCGGACUUAAGAGAUUGAGUCUUUCACUUCGGGUGGAUUGGAUACAGGUGCUGCAUGGCUGUCGUCAGCUCGUGUCGUGAGAUGUUGGGUUAAGUCCCGCAACGAGCGCAACCCUUACCUUCAAUUGCCAGCACAUUAUGGUGGGAACUUUGAAGGAACUGCCGGUGAUAAGCCGGAGGAAGGUGGGGAUGACGUCAAGUCCUCAUGGCCCUUACGGGCCGGGCUACACACGUGAUACAAUGGUAACUACAAAGGGCAGCGAAGGAGCGAUCUGGAGCAAAUCUCAAAAAGUUACCUCAGUUCGGAUUGCACUCUGCAACUCGAGUGCAUGAAGUUGGAAUCGCUAGUAAUCGUAGAUCAGCGCGCUACGGUGAAUACGUUCCCGGGUCUUGUACACACCGCCCGUCACACCAUGGGAGUUGGUUUUACCUGAAGCUGGUUCGCUAACCGUAAGGAGGCAGCCAACCACGGUAAGAUUAGCGACUGGGGUGAAGUCGUAACAAGGUAGCCGUA
rnacentral:rRNA from 1 species